rnacentral:rRNA from 1 species
ACGAACGCUGGCGGCGUGCNUAAUACAUGCAAGUAGAACGCUGAGGAUUGGUGCUUGCACUAAUCCAAGGAGUUGCGAACGGGUGAGUAACGCGUAGGUAACCUACCUCAUAGCGGGGGAUAACUAUUGGAAACGAUAGCUAAUACCGCAUGACACUAGAGUACACAUGUACUCAAGUUAAAAGGAGCAAUUGCUUCACUAUGAGAUGGACCUGCGUUGUAUUAGCUAGUUGGUGAGGUAAAGGCUCACCAAGGCGACGAUACAUAGCCGACCUGAGAGGGUGAUCGGCCACACUGGGACUGAGACACGGCCCAGACUCCUACGGGAGGCAGCAGUAGGGAAUCUUCGGCAAUGGACGGAAGUCUGACCGAGCAACGCCGCGUGAGUGAAGAAGGUUUUCGGAUCGUAAAGCUCUGUUGUUAGAGAAGAACGGUAAUGGGAGUGGAAAAUCCAUUACGUGACGGUAACUAACCAGAAAGGGACGGCUAACUACGUGCCAGCAGCCGCGGUAAUACGUAGGUCUCGAGCGUUGUCCGGAUUUAUUGGGCGUAAAGCGAGCGCAGGCGGUUCUAUAAGUCUGAAGUAAAAGGCAGUGGCUCAACCAUUGUAUGCUUUGGAAACUGUAGAACUUGAGUGCAGAAGGGGAGAGUGGAAUUCCAUGUGUAGCGGUGAAAUGCGUAGAUAUAUGGAGGAACACCGGUGGCGAAAGCGGCUCUCUGGUCUGUAACUGACGCUGAGGCUCGAAAGCGUGGGGAGCAAACAGGAUUAGAUACCCUGGUAGUCCACGCCGUAAACGAUGAGUGCUAGGUGUUAGGCCCUUUCCGGGGCUUAGUGCCGCA